rnacentral:rRNA from 1 species
CGGGAUUGGGGAGCUUGCUCCCCAUGAUUAGUGGCGCACGGGUGCGUAACACGUAUGUAACCUACCUUCGUCAGGAGGAUAGCCUCUCGAAAGAGAGAUUAACACCGCAUAACAUAGUGAAGUGGGGUCGCUUUACUAUCAAAUAUUUAUAGGACGAAGAUGGGCAUGCGGGACAUUAGCUAGUUAGUAAGGUAAUGGCUUACCAAGGCAAUGAUGUCUAGGGGAUCUGAGAGGAUGGCCCCCCACACUGGUACUGAGACACGGACCGGACUCCUACGGGAGGCAGCAGUAAGGAAUAUUGGUCAAUGGGCGCAAGCCUGAACCAGCCAUGCCGCGUGCAGGAAGACGGCCCUACGGGUUGUAAACUGCUUUUGCGCCGGAAUAAACCCUCUUACGUGUAAGAGGCUGAAUGUACGGCGAGAAUAAGGAUCGGAUAACUCCGUGCCAGCAGCCGCGGUAAUACGGAGGAUCCAAGCGUUAUCCGGAUUUAUCGGGUUUAACAGGGUGCGUACGCGGCCUGUUAAGUCAGGCGUGAAAGCCGGUAGCUCAACUACCGAAGUGCCUU